rnacentral:rRNA from 1 species
AGCGAACGCUGGCGGCAGGCUUAACACAUGCAAGUCGAGCGGACCUUUCGGGGUCAGCGGCGGACGGGGGAGUAACGCGGGGGAACGUGCCUUCCGGUUCGGAAUAACCCUGGGAAACUAGGGCUAAUACCGGAUAGGCCCUUAUGGGGAAAGGUUUACUGCCGGAAGAUCGGCCCGCGUCUGAUUAGCUAGUUGGUGGGGUAACGGCCUACCAAGGCGACGAUCAGUAGCUGGUGUGAGAGGAUGAUCAGCCACACUGGGACUGAGACACGGCCCAGACUCCUACGGGAGGCAGCAGUGGGGAAUAUUGGACAAUGAGCGCAAGCCUGAUCAAGCCAUGCCGGGUGAGUGAUGAAGGCCGUAGGGUUGUAAAGCUCUUUUAUCCGGGACGAUAAUGACGGUACCGGAGGAAUAAGCCCCGGCUAACUUCGUG